rnacentral:ncRNA from 1 species
UUAGCUACUUUAGAUAGGUUUGUAUUUAUGAGAUAUAUAAAAUCAUCAUAGAUACAAAUCUUUAAAAUUUGUAUCUAUGAUGGCUAAAAUUAAUUUGUUAUGCGAAGCCACAUAGAUAAUCACUAUGUGGCUUUUAUCAAUCCUAGGCAAAAAAGCCACAUAGUGAAUGCUAUGUGGCUUUUUAUAUAUUAAAAUAUAAA